rnacentral:rRNA from 1 species
UACGGGGGGGGCAAGCGUUGUUCGGAAUUACUGGACGUAAAGGGCUCGUAGGCGGCCAACUAAGUCAGACGUGAAAUCCCUAGGCUCAACCUAGGAACUGCGUCUGAUACUGGAUGGCUUGAAGUCCGGGAGAGGGAUGCGAGAUUCCAGGUGUAGCGGUGAAAUGCGUAGAUAUCUGGAGGAACACCGGUGGCGAAGGCGGCAUCCUGGACCAAUACUGACGCUCAUGUGCGAAAGCGUGGGGAGCAAACAGG